rnacentral:rRNA from 1 species
CAGCAGCCGCGGGAAUACGUAGGGUGCAAGCGUUAAUCGGAAUUACUGGGCGUAAAGCGUGCGCAGGCGGUUAUAUAAGACAGAUGUGAAAUCCCCGGGCUCAACCUGGGAACUGCCUUUGUGACUGCAAGGCUAGAGUACGGCAGAGGGGGAUGGAAUUCCGCGUGUAGCAGUGAAAUGCGUAGAUAUGCGGAGGAACACCGAUGGCGAAGGCAAUCCCCUGGGCCUGUACUGACGCUCAUGCACGAAAGCGUGGGGAGCAAACAGGAUUAGAUACCCCAGUAGUCCCUGUCUCUUAUAC